rnacentral:rRNA from 1 species
GACGAACGCUGGCGGCGUGCUUAACACAUGCAAGUCGAACGAAGUGGCGAACGGGUGAGUAAUACGUGGGUAACCUGCCCUCCUUUUUGGGAUAAGCCUUGGAAACGGGGUCUAAUACCGAAUAACGGGGGAUGGGCUCGCGGCCUAUCAGCUUGUGGGUGGGGUGAUGGCCUACCAAGGCGUUGACGGGUAGCCGGCCUGAGAGGGUGACCGGCUACAUGGGGACUGAGAUACGGCCCAGAAUCCUACGGGAGGCAGACGUGGGGGAUAUUGCUCAAUGGGCGAAAGCCGUAUGCAGCCAUGCCGCGUGUAUGAAGAAGGCCUUCGGGUGGUAAAGUACUUUCAGCGAGGAGGCGUUACUCGCAGAAGAAGCACCGGCUAACUCCGUGCCAGCAGCCGCGGUAAUAC